rnacentral:rRNA from 1 species
GAGUGGCGGACGGGUGAGUAAUGCUUGGGAACUUGCCUUUGCGAGGGGGAUAACAGUUGGAAACGACUGCUAAUACCGCAUAAUGUCUUCGGACCAAACGGGGCUUCGGCUCCGGCGCAAAGAGAGGCCCAAGUGAGAUUAGCUAGUUGGUAAGGUAACGGCUUACCAAGGCGACGAUCUCUAGCUGUUCUGAGAGGAAGAUCAGCCACACUGGGACUGAGACACGGCCCAGACUCCUACGGGAGGCAGCAGUGGGGAAUAUUGCACAAUGGGGGAAACCCUGAUGCAGCCAUGCCGCGUGUGUGAAGAAGGCCUUCGGGUUGUAAAGCACUUUCAGUUGUGAGGAAAAGUUAGUAGUUAAUACCUGCUAGCCGUGACGUUAACAACAGAAGAAGCACCGGCUAACUCCGUGCCAGCAGCCGCGGUAAUACGGAGGGUGCGAGCGUUAAUCGGAAUUACUGGGCGUAAAGCGCACGCAGGCGGUUUGUUAAGCUAGAUGUGAAAGCCCCGGGCUCAACCUGGGAUGGUCAUUUAGAACUGGCAGACUAGAGUCUUGGAGAGGGGAGUGGAAUUCCAGGUGUAGCGGUGAAAUGCGUAGAUAUCUGGAGGAACAUCAGUGGCGAAGGCGACUCCCUGGCCAAAGACUGACGCUCAUGUGCGAAAGUGUGGGUAGCGAACAGGAUUAGAUACCCUGGUAGUCCACACCGUAAACGCUGUCUACUAGCUGUGUGUGCCUUUAAGGCGUGCGUAGCGAAGCUAACGCGCUAAGUAGACCGCCUGGGGGAGUACGGCCGCAAGGUUAAAACUCAAAUGAAUUGACGGGGGG